ACAGUCUGAGAAGUACUGCCAUGCAGCUGCUUUCAACAGCGGGGAUGCCCGCAAGGGAAAUAAUGAUGGUCACCGGGCACAGAUGCGAGACAAGUCUGAAAAGCUACUGGGCUCCGACAACCUCUGACAGGGAGAAAUGGAGCCAGAUCCUUUCAGGUGUGCCUGGAAUUAACCCUGUAAGCUGCAAUCGAGGAGAAGCUGCAUCAAGCCAAGAAAUGAAUGGGGGUUUGAGUGCGAACUAUCCCCCAGAUGUACCAUUUAUCCUCUCCAAUUGUACGUUCAACGGGAAUGUCCAAUUCAACCUCAAGUAGCCUAGCCCUGGCGGUACUAGAAAUCCAAGGCGUUGCCAAGCAACGUCUAAACUUCUGAAGAACUAUUUUCUCUUAUUUUUUUCUCUUUUCACAAAAUCGCAAUAAAUCAUUCGGACCUCAUAAAA